rnacentral:lncRNA from 1 species
AAGGAAUUCCAUUAUAGAGGUCAAGCUAUGGAUGCAAGUAGUACAAGUGAAAGUUCAGAUGGAAGUUCAGAUGGCAGCAGUUCAGAUGGAAGUUCACAUGGGAGUGGUGGUAAACACAUAUGAGUAAAAGUAAAUUCAUGGAAGAAUAAAAGACAUUGGUGGACCUAUUCCAAUGUUUAGCAUAUGAUGUCUAUUAUAGUUAUGAAUUGUAUGGCAUUAUAAGAAAAAAAAAACACUUUUAAAAACUUUUAUGUUUAUACAUGUAAUGGUUAAAACUGAUUAUAUGAUAAGACAAAAAGACUAUUAUGAUACAUUGUAUAGUUAAGAUAUAAAAAUAGUAUAAUGUGGUAACAGUUAUUUCAAUUCCUAGGACCCGGUUUAAUUUUUUUUAUUCACACUGAACUUUACGUCUUGUGCUAUAGUUUGAAUCAGGCCCGACCCAUCAUAUAUGGUGCUUAGAUCAAAAACAUUUAUGUACCCUUAACAUGGUUAGAACCGGGCACGUAUUGGACAAUUGAAACAUAAUUAACAACGACACCAUAAUUAAUAUUGAAAAUUAAUGUCCUCUAAAACAAAACUAGAGCUACUAUAUAUUUAGAAUUUCAACAUAUAAAACCAUGAUGGGAAUGACUGAUGAUGGUUCUCUAACCCUCGACUGGUUUGGUGAAACUUUAGCAACAUGAACCCGAGCCGUGCUUGUUAAAGAAAAUUUAAAGCAUUGGCUUAGGGUAUCAUUUUAUGCAAAAUUUAUAUAUAGAGCAUAUUUUAGAACUUUUAUUUUUAACAUCAUAUUCAUCUUAGGUUAAAUUUGUCUAUCUAACAAAAUAUUAAAUACCACACAUGCUAAUCAUGAGUAGCCGAUAUACGGACCCAAUACAAAAUACACACAUAUAUAGCUAAGAUAUAUAUGAGUUUUACAAUGAAACAUGCAUUUAUAUAUAAUACUCCCUCUAUUUUAAUUUAUUUGAUGUUUAAUUAUUAUUUUUUUGUAAAAUAAGUGAUGUUCUUAUUAAUCUAGAUAAAAAUUUAAUGUUGUUUGAGAUUUGUGACCAAUUACAUAAUUGAUAAUACUACAUUUUUUAUUGGGUAAUUUAGUUCUAUCUUUUGUGUAAUUAAGAUAAAUUGUAUGGAACUUUACAAGUUCUUAAUCUUUGUGCAUUAAUCUUAAACACCUAUUAAAUUAAAUAAAGGGAACACAUAAUUUGCUAUGAAAAUAAUAUGUUUGUUUGAAAAUGAAUAACCGAUCAAUUGUUUUUCAUUCUAUUUAUUAUGUAUUGGAAUAUGCCUAUACUCAAAUUUGUUAUCGAUUCUUUCUUUUUUUUUAUAUAUAUAUAUAAAAACCAGAUUUCAGUUAUUUUUGAAGUUCUUUCCAAAAUACAUAUUUUAGUAAGAUAUAUGUUUGAAGUUUGUUGAUAAAAAAAAAGAGAGUAAGAUAUAUGUUUAUUGAGUAUUCAGUGAUUUCCACAAAGUCUAUGGUCUAUUCUUUUCAAAAAAAGAGUUUGGGAUCUAAUCUAAAAAUAAACUCUAUUGGGUAUUCCACCUUAUAAUAAUAAUAAUAAUAAUAAUAAUAAUAAUAAGGGCAAUUGUCAAUAAUAGCACCUUUUGAAGUUUAUGUCUCGAAAAUAGCACUAGAAGGAGAAAGUCACAAAAAUAACAUUCAUUAAAGGGUAAAAUAUCCCUAAUACUCUUGGUUUAAAAUUAAAUAAACAAACAAAAAUAAAUAAAAAUAAAUAAAAUAAAAAUUAAAAAAAUGAAAAAAAGAUUUUUUUUUUUUUUAUAGUUUCAGAUUAUAUGUUUUCAGAUUCGAAAUUUUUAUAAUUUUUUUUUUCGAAUUUUUUUUUUUUUUUUUUUAUGGUUGUUGCUUCCGUUGCGUCCGUAGUCUAUUUAGGCUUCGCCGGUGUAACACUCAGUGGUUCAGCCGUGGCAUUAGCCGUAUCCACCCCUCUUUUCAUCAUAUUCAGUCCGAUUCUCUUACCUGCUAUUGCAGCCACUACUGUCCUAGCCGCCGGGCUCGGAGGUAAAAAAGUGGCGGCGGCUCCGGAAGCUUCUCCGGCAGCUUCGCCAUCCCUAUCUCUGUUGGGCAUACCGGAGAGCAUUAAACCAAGUAAUAUUAUACCGGAGAGUAUUAAACCAAGUAAUAUUAUACCGGAGGGUAUUAAACCAAGUAAUAUUAAGGACAAAAUUAAGGAUACGAUAGGCAAAGUUAAGAAUAAGAUCAAAGCUAAAAAGGAAGAAAAAUCCAAAGGUAAAAGUGAAGAUUCUUCCAAGGGUAAAGGUAAAUCAAAGGGUGAAGAUACGACUACGGAUGACGAUACGACUACGGAUGAAGACAAACACGGAAGUGGAGCUAAACACGGAAAGGGAGAGAGUAAACACGGAAAAGGUGAGAGUACACACGGAAAGGGAGGUAAACAUGGAAGUGAAGGUAAGCAUGGAAGUGGAGGUUCGUCUAUGGGUGGAGGUAAACACGGAAGCGGAGGUAAACAUGAAACUGGAGGUAAACACGGAAGCGGAGGUAAACAUGAAAGUGGAGGUUCGCCUAUGGGUGGAGGUAAACAUGGAAGUGAAGGUAAGCAUGGAAGUGGAGGUGCGUCUAUGGGUGGAGGUAAACACGGAAGCGGAGGUAAACAUGAAAGUGGAGGUUCGGCUAUGGGUGGAGGUAAGCACGGAAGUGGAGGCAAACACGGAAGUGAAGGUAAACACGGGGGUGAAGGCUCUUCUAUGGGUAAAAAUAGUCUAUCCAAGAAGAAAAAGGAAUUCCAUUAUAGAGGUCAAGCUAUGGAUGCAAGUAGUACAAGUGAAAGUUCAGAUGGAAGUUCAGAUGGCAGCAGUUCAGAUGGAAGUUCACAUGGGAGUGGUGGUAAACACAUAUGAGUAAAAGUAAAUUCAUGGAAGAAUAAAAGACAUUGGUGGACCUAUUCCAAUGUUUAGCAUAUGAUGUCUAUUAUAGUUAUGAAUUGUAUGGCAUUAUAAGAAAAAAAAAACACUUUUAAAAACUUUUAUGUUUAUACAUGUAAUGGUUAAAACUGAUUAUAUGAUAAGACAAAAAGACUAUUAUGAUACAUUGUAUAGUUAAGAUAUAAAAAUAGUAUAAUGUGGUAACAGUUAUUUCAAUUCCUAGGACCCGGUUUAAUUUUUUUUAUUCACACUGAACUUUACGUCUUGUGCUAUAGUUUGAAUCAGGCCCGACCCAUCAUAUAUGGUGCUUAGAUCAAAAACAUUUAUGUACCCUUAACAUGGUUAGAACCGGGCACGUAUUGGACAAUUGAAACAUAAUUAACAACGACACCAUAAUUAAUAUUGAAAAUUAAUGUCCUCUAAAACAAAACUAGAGCUACUAUAUAUUUAGAAUUUCAACAUAUAAAACCAUGAUGGGAAUGACUGAUGAUGGUUCUCUAACCCUCGACUGGUUUGGUGAAACUUUAGCAACAUGAACCCGAGCCGUGCUUGUUAAAGAAAAUUUAAAGCAUUGGCUUAGGGUAUCAUUUUAUGCAAAAUUUAUAUAUAGAGCAUAUUUUAGAACUUUUAUUUUUAACAUCAUAUUCAUCUUAGGUUAAAUUUGUCUAUCUAACAAAAUAUUAAAUACCACACAUGCUAAUCAUGAGUAGCCGAUAUACGGACCCAAUACAAAAUACACACAUAUAUAGCUAAGAUAUAUAUGAGUUUUACAAUGAAACAUGCAUUUAUAUAUAAUACUCCCUCUAUUUUAAUUUAUUUGAUGUUUAAUUAUUAUUUUUUUGUAAAAUAAGUGAUGUUCUUAUUAAUCUAGAUAAAAAUUUAAUGUUGUUUGAGAUUUGUGACCAAUUACAUAAUUGAUAAUACUACAUUUUUUAUUGGGUAAUUUAGUUCUAUCUUUUGUGUAAUUAAGAUAAAUUGUAUGGAACUUUACAAGUUCUUAAUCUUUGUGCAUUAAUCUUAAACACCUAUUAAAUUAAAUAAAGGGAACACAUAAUUUGCUAUGAAAAUAAUAUGUUUGUUUGAAAAUGAAUAACCGAUCAAUUGUUUUUCAUUCUAUUUAUUAUGUAUUGGAAUAUGCCUAUACUCAAAUUUGUUAUCGAUUCUUUCUUUUUUUUUAUAUAUAUAUAUAAAAACCAGAUUUCAGUUAUUUUUGAAGUUCUUUCCAAAAUACAUAUUUUAGUAAGAUAUAUGUUUGAAGUUUGUUGAUAAAAAAAAAGAGAGUAAGAUAUAUGUUUAUUGAGUAUUCAGUGAUUUCCACAAAGUCUAUGGUCUAUUCUUUUCAAAAAAAGAGUUUGGGAUCUAAUCUAAAAAUAAACUCUAUUGGGUAUUCCACCUUAUAAUAAUAAUAAUAAUAAUAAUAAUAAUAAUAAGGGCAAUUGUCAAUAAUAGCACCUUUUGAAGUUUAUGUCUCGAAAAUAGCACUAGAAGGAGAAAGUCACAAAAAUAACAUUCAUUAAAGGGUAAAAUAUCCCUAAUACUCUUGGUUUAAAAUUAAAUAAACAAACAAAAAUAAAUAAAAAUAAAUAAAAUAAAAAUUAAAAAAAUGAAAAAAAGAUUUUUUUUUUUUUUAUAGUUUCAGAUUAUAUGUUUUCAGAUUCGAAAUUUUUAUAAUUUUUUUUUUCGAAUUUUUUUUUUUUAUUUUUUUUUCAAAUUUUCUUUUUCAAAUUUUCUUUUUAUAAUUUAAAAAUACUUUUUAAAACUGUUUUUAAAAUUUUAUUUUUUAUUUUAUAUUUUUUUUUUAUAAAAUGGGUGGAGGUAAACACGGAAGCGGAGGUAAACAUGAAAGUGGAGGUGCGUCUAUGGGUGGAGGUAAACACGGAAGCGGAGGUAGACAUGAAGGUGGAGGUUCGGCUAUGGGUGGAGGUAAGCACGGAAGUGGAGGCAAACACGGAAGUGAAGGUAAACACGGGGGUGAGGGCUCUUCUAUGGGUAAAAAUAGUCUAUCCAAGAAUAAAAAAGAAUUCCAUUAUAGAGGUCAAGCUAUGGAUGCAAGUAGUACAAGUGAAAGUUCAGAUGGCAGCAGUUCAGAUGGCAGCAGUUCAGAUGGCAGCAGUUCAGAUGGAAGUUCACAUGGGAGUGGUGGUAAACACAUAUGAGUAAAAGUAAAUUCAUGGAAGAAUAAAAGACAUUGGUGGACCUAUUCCAAUGUUUAGCAUAUGAUGUCUAUUAUAGUUAUGAAUUGUAUGGCAUUAUAAGAAAAAAAAAACUUUAAAAAACUUUUAUGUUUAUAAUAUGCAUGUAAUGGUUAAAACUGAUUAUAUGAUAAGACAAAAAGACUAUUAUGAUACAAUGUAUAGUGAAGAUAUAAAAAUAGUAUAAUGUGGUAACAGUUAUUUCAAUUCUUCUUGAAAGGACCCGGUUUAAUUUUUUUUUCACACUGAACUUUCAUUGAUAAAACAUCAAGGUCUAAUACAAAGGUG